GCCUGGUCUUAAACGGGUGGUCAUGACCUCCUGUUACAGUAGAGGCCGUGCAGUCCUUAGCAGGGGCAGACGCACCUCCGGGUGGUCGUGACCUCCUGUUGCAGUAGAGGCUGUUGCAAUCCUUAGCAGGGGCAAAUCCACCCCUGCAAUCUGGUCCCAUCUUGUUCCAUUUUCAAGGGCCUUGCUCUUCAGGUUCCCCCUUCCCCCUUGUCAUCUGGUCUGAGGGAGCAUGUCCACCCCAAGCGCAACACGAACAGCAGCAGCCAGGCUUUCCCUCCCUCCUGCCAUCUCCUGCCGCUCUGCCUUCCUUGCCAGCCUCACUCUGCUCUCCUGCUCCGGAGGCCCCCACUGUCCUCAUGGCCUGUGUAGCAAGCACAUAAACACUCCAGUGAACGCGCUGGUCUCUUCCUGAGUUCCUUUGUGCCUGUGGACUCGUCAUGGUAGGGGUGCACCCCUGCUGAGUCGUAACCCAGGGAGAGCUCCACAGUCUCGAUUUUCACAAGCCCCUCAGGAAAUUAAUUCUUAGCGUCCC
rnacentral:lncRNA from 1 species